CCGUCGGUGAACCUGCGGAAGGAUCAUUA
rnacentral:rRNA from 1 species